CACAGAACUAAAAAAAAAAAAAAUAUCAUACCAGGGAUUCUUUGAAAAAUCAGAUUAAAGUUUCUGACACAGGGUGUGUGGGCUUGUUGCUUUAGUUCUCCACAGGAUGGUGGAACACUAGAGUCUGCCCGAGAGGAGAAACUUAGAAACCCCCUCCCGCCAGCCGCCCAUGAAAAAGCAAGAAGGGUGGGGUAGAGAAGGGGUAAGAGGGGGAUAGGGGGAAGAGAGAAGCAACGAGAGAAAAUGAGGGGAUGGGGGGAGCUAGUGGGGUGGCUGCCAUUAACCUGUGUGCAUAGUAUUACCAUACAGUAUGUCCUGUGUACAACUGCGAACGAAGGAUAGGCUUUUAGUAGAGGAAAAGCAGCAGCUCCACACGUUCCUGUCUGAAGGAUGGUCCAGAAACCCCAGACGUCUCGUCGCCUUCUCAUUUCCACCUCUGAGAGAACUAGAGAAGAUCAUUUCAUGUUGACGGACUUAGGGGGAAAUGUGCAAAUGUUUAUGGGAGCAGAAAAAUAAAAAGACAAAUGUGGAUUCAAGUGGAUGCAGAAAGAUGGUCCCUGGAAGGAGGAAGAGUCCUCAAGAAGAAUCAGAGAGGACCUCAGGCUAUGGACUCAAGAAAGGACUUCUAAUAAACAGGAGUUAUCAUCAUAUGACAUGGACUCAGGGCCCUUCACCAUUAAGCAACUACAUACUGUGCUUUCUUUCUUCCAGAAGAAUGCAACAGAAGAGUGCUAGUUCUGAAAUCUUAUAAGGGCAAGAUUACCUUGAAACACUGACACGACAUUCUUGCAAGACAUGUGAAUAUGAAGACCUUCAUUUUGACACUGCUGCUAACCACAUCCAGAGGCUUCGGGAAUUCUAUUUUGCUACCCACCACCCACUCCCUGCAAAUCAAUCAACCUUUAUC
rnacentral:lncRNA from 1 species